GUGGGGAAUCUUCCGCAAUGGACGAAAGUCUGACGGAGCAACGCCGCGUGAGUGAUGAAGGUCUUCGGAUUGUAAAGCUCUGUUAAUCGGGACGAAAGAGCCUAGUGUGAAUAAUGCUAGGAAGUGACGGUACCGGAAUAGAAAGCCACGGCUAACUACGUGCCAGCAGCCGCGGUAAUACGUAGGUGGCAAGCGUUGUCCGGAAUUAUUGGGCGUAAAGCGCGCGCAGGCGGAUCUGCCAGUCUGUCUUAAAAGUUCGGGGCUUAACCCCGUGAUGGGAUGGAAACUACAGAUCUAGAGUAGCGGAGAGGAAAGUGGAAUUCCUAGUGUAGCGGUGAAAUGCGUAGAUAUUAGGAAGAACACCAGUGGCGAAGGCGACUUUCUGGACGAAAACUGACGCUGAGGCGCGAAAGCCAGGGGAGCGAACGGGAUUAGAUACCCUAGUAGUCC
rnacentral:rRNA from 1 species